rnacentral:tRNA from 1 species
GGCUCCAUAGUAUAGUGGGUAGCACAUCUGCUUUACACACAUAAGGUUCUGGGUUUGGGCCCCAGGUGGAGCCA